rnacentral:rRNA from 1 species
GCAAACCUCACGAAAGCCAAUCUCAGUUCGGAUUGUAGGCUGCAACUCGCCUACAUGAAGUUGGAAUCGCUAGUAAUCGCGAAUCAGAAUGUCGCGGUGAAUACGUUCCCGGGUCUUGUACACACCGCCCGUCACACCACGAGAGUUUACAACACCCGAAGUCAGUGGCCUAACCGCAAGGAGGGAGCUGCCUAAGGUGGGGUAGAUGAUUGGGGUGAAGUCGUAACAAGGUAAC